CAGGUUUGGGGACGAGAACGUUAUCAGCUAUCUGUGCAAGUUCAACAGGCUUACUUAAGAAUGGUUCCAAAUUGUGUUUCUUCGUCAUCAUUUUUAAACACCUUUUGCGAGAGUGAAAUCAGCAACAUUACAAAUUUACAAUUCUUGCUUAUAUACUAAGGUUUUGUCCCGUUUCGCAGAGAAGAAGAAUGACUUUGUCAAAGACGACGAAACUUUUUGCCAGGUAUACGGUAGCUGAGGAAAACACCCAAGAGAAGAGAGCAUUGGCAACAGAUGCUGGAUUUGCCAGCAUUGACCCAGAUUACAGGGAACGGCGCGAUUCCCGUACAGUACAAUGCACAAAAUGCAACUGCGCAUACACGAUUACAAAGUUUCAACAAUUUUUGGUAAUAUCUGGGAUUGCACAGAAUGCGGAUCGUGAUCUUUGGCACGGGCAGUGCUGCAACAUCAACAACUCGCCUUGGGCAACAUGCAAAAAAGAACAGUUUGGUGCUGACGCCCGACAGAAAGUUUCGCUGCAAAACUCUUUGCUGCUUUCUUCAGUUAUUCCAAUGUCAGCGUGCGCAAGAUGUAGACCUGUGAGCGGACAGGAAAAUAAAACGGAUUCUUAGCAGAGGAAAAUCCCGCAGGCCAAAGCAAAAUUAUCCAUCAAACAUGUGCAGGAAAAAGUAAGCCCAUGCAUCAGGGGGACAUUAACAUGACUUGUCCCGAUGCAGGCAUAAAUGAGAACAUAGAUAUCCUUCGAGGCAUUUCAUCAAACUUUCAUUGUUCUCCAAAUGGACUUGAAGAGUUUAAGGACAAAUACUAGCCAAUCAGCCAAUCGUUUCUCUACAAAUUUCAGUACUUGAAGGGUUGAAGGACACAUACUAGCCAACCAUUUCUGUUACAAUUUUCAGUACAGGAACCAUAAAAUGGCAUUGAGGAAUUAAUAGCUCUGGGGUGCGCAGUCAAUAGUCACAGUUGUUUGGAUUUUGUAAGAGCAUCUCCAACAGCUUAUCUAAAUCUAUCUGGUUGGCUAAAAAUAGAAAAAGGAGGAGAAAAUCUCAAUCCAACAGAGCAGCUAUCCACCCUCCUUCGCUAUCCGGUUCGCAAUCCCACCCUUCGCGCGAGCCAAAAAAACAGAAGCCAUCCGGUUCGCCAUCCCGUCGUGCCUCCCCCUCCUCUUCCCGCACCUCCCCCUCCUCUUCCCGUGCCCUCCCCGCCACCGCGCGCCGAGGAGGACGGAGCUCCCCGCCGCGCGCCCCUCCGCCGAGGAGGACGAAGCUCCCGUCGCGCGCCCCUCCGCCGAGCGAGGACGAAGCUCCCGUCGCGCGUCGACCUGGGCUGCCGCGGCGUCGCGGAGCUCGUGGAGCCCAUGGCCGGGGGGGAGGACGUGGCGGCUUCGCGGAGCCCAUGGCCGGGGGGAGGACGCGGCCGGCGGGCGGCGGCUUCGGUGGCGGGCGGCGGAAUACGGCGGUGGGCUCGGCGCGGGGGGAGGACGCGGCGGCGCGGGGGAGAUGGGGCGGCCGGCGGUGGGCGGCGGAUGGAGCGGGGGCCCACUCGUCAGUGGGUCAGCAGGAGAAGGGGAUGGAGUGGAGGAGGGGAUGGAUAGAGAAACUGUUGGAUUUUCCACCUUUUGUAUAGUUAAAUGGCUAGCUAAAUAGAUAGCUAAAUGGGAUUUGGCUAAUAGGAUUUGAAGAAGCUGUUGGAGAUGCUCUAAGGACAGAACAGCUCUCUGAUGAUUGGCCUUCGCUAAAUUUAUAAAUUUAUCAGUAUCAUCGUGCACAAAAA